rnacentral:rRNA from 1 species
GACGAACGCUGGCGGCGUGCUUAACACAUGCAAGUCGAACGAUGAUGCCCAGCUUGCUGGGUGGAUUAGUGGCGAACGGGUGAGUAACACGUGAGUAACCUGCCCCUGACUCUGGGAUAAGCGUUGGAAACGACGUCUAAUACUGGAUAUGACUGCCGGCCGCAGGGUCUGGUGGUGGAAAGAUUUUUUGGUUGGGGAUGGACUCGCGGCCUAUCAGCUCGUUGGUGAGGUAAUGGCUCACCAAGGCGACGACGGGUAGCCGGCCUGAGAGGGUGACCGGCCACACUGGGACUGAGACACGGCCCAGACUCCUACGGGAGGCAGCAGUGGGAAUAUUGCACAAUGGGCGAAAGCCUGAUGCAGCAACGCCGCGUGAGGGAUGACGGCCUUCGGGUUGUAAACCUCUUUUAGUAGGGAAGAAGCGUAAGUGACGGUACCUGCAGAAAAAGCACCGGCUAACUACGUGCCAGCCGCCGCCGUAA